GACAGAACCAACUCUCUCGUUAGCUUGACUUAUCCUAAACAUCACGUGGCUUGACUUAUUUUUUUUUCUUCUCCAACGACUCCGAUUGAGAAAACCCUAACAUCCCCUUUGUUUCCAAUCGACGACCAUUACAAUCACUCUGGUUUCGCCUCUGCUACUCUCUAUUUCUAUACGACAGAACCAGCCAUAAGCUCUCUUGCGGCUAUCUAAUCCCUAAGUUCAGGACUCUCCGCCGAUUUGAAGAAACUCUAACUUGGGCAACUACUCUCCUCCUCUUUCUUGUUGAGGUCACCGUGGAAUCACCACUCUCCGUGAUUUGAAGAUAAAGAUGAGUUUUGAAGACAAAGAAAUGCUAGAAAGAAUACACAAUUGUUUUCUCCUCAAAGUUGAUCUAUGAUCUCCGAGAAUCAGACAUGGUGGGGACAGGAGGAGAAUGAGAGGUUCGCAUGUUUCUUGCCGCCGACUCCGAGAUUGUGUAGAAUGCACGAUGGCUACUUUAAUGUCUUUAUCUCCCUUUUCGGCAACGACGGCGAGCAAUUGGAUCUUUUCGACGAUGACAAAGAUCUGGACAAGUACUAUGGUUUCGUUAUCAGUGCUAGCCCACAUGAUACCUUCACAGACGCUGAUUGGAUCUUCAAGCUUGCUAGCUAGUUUAUUUGAAGAAGAAGGUUCUUGGCAUCUGUUUCUACGACCAGCUGCUGUGUGGAUAGGGAGUAUGUGAUCUGGGAUUUCAAAAUUAAGGGCAUUGCAAAGGAGCUUUGAGAUGAGUGUACUACUGCAAUCACUAGUGGCUAAGAAUGAGUCUAAGCUUGAGGGGCUCAAGUAAUCAACACUGUGGUGGUAGUAGUGGUGAUGUUUUCUUUGCUCUCUCUGAGGUAAAGUUUGAUGCUUUUUGAUUAUUAUGAUUACUAGAUUCUUUCUCCGCACUACGCACGGAAAAGUGUGUUGAUCGUUUAUUUUUCGAUAAUAUGUGUCAAUGUUUGUGUUUGGAAUAAGGGUGUUGUAUUUGUCAAAGCAAUGAGAAAGUCGAUGAAUUAUUUAAGGGUGCUCAACCCGGUAAAUCUUUUCAAUUUAAAACUGGAGGUAACAAUUUAAAAAAAAAUCUUUGUAAUGUAAUUUUUAUAUUCAGAAGUUUCUUUUCUAUUGAUUUUUUAAAAAUAAUUGUUACAAUUUUUUUAUGGGCAAAUCUCUAAAAUAGCACUUUAAUUAAACGAAGGUGCUCUGAUUCUCUGCAUCACCAGGUCUUCUUCCAACCUUCACCUGUGAGAUUUUCUGUACAUAUGAUUUUAGACAAUUAAGUCCAAAAGAGAUGUAAAAGAGCUCUGAUUCUCUGAUUCUCUUCUUCCAACCUUCACCUGUGGGAUUUUUUUUUCGUUUUUGUUAUAGUUUUCUCAGACAUUUAGUUUUGAAAACAGGUAUCAGACUGAGCAAGAACUUGGCACUGAAAUCAAACCAAUUCCUUCGCAGAUCGAUCAAGCAAUCUACUGCCAGUAAACUUGUAACCACACGAGAAAAUGUUACCACCCGACGAGUCACAGUGUUGAUGAAAAUGGUGUUUCUCAAGCUAGGAGGUGAUGAGGCAACUGAUACUUGGCGGUUUAUGUACAAUACAAUUCGUUACAGAUACGAACCUGAGCGGUUUGGUUUAUAAUCUUUCUCUAUACUUUGUUUCGUGUUUUACUGAAAUAUGUUGUUAACGUUGCACAUUUAUCUUUGACUUGGCAGUCAAGUAAUAAAGACAAAAUAAGUAAGACU